CAGGACAGGCACCUGCUUCACUCUUGAAUGUGUGCCAGGGACCUGAGACUCCAAGGUCAAAGGUGAAAGAUGAAGACCAGACUUCAUCUGGACCAUAGUUAAAGUCACAACAAGGGACCACACAACUUCUCCCUCCUCUAAAUGAGGACACACCUUCAAGUUAGCCUCCAAACACCAAAACUGGAGUGACAAUCGGAAUAAAGGACUUGUGAGAGGUUGAGACAGGGAGAUGCAAAGACAGAAUACUGUCUUGUAGUUCAAGCUUGCUAACAGGUCAGCCUUUCUGAAUGAAUGGCACUGUGAAGCACUGGGGCCACUUAACCAGCAAGGCUGGCCAACUGAACUUGAAUCUGAUGUGCAGGUGUCAUUUGUGACAAGAGUAAGAUGGGUGAAUUUCAUGGCAUUCCAGCCUCAUAUACCCCAUGA
rnacentral:lncRNA from 1 species